GAUGAACGCUGGCGGCGUGCUUAACACAUGCAAGUCGAACGAAGCACUUCAUAAAGCUUGCUUUAAGAAGUGACUUAGUGGCGGACGGGUGAGUAACGCGUGGGUAACCUGCCUUACACAGGGGGAUAACAGUUAGAAAUGACUGCUAAUACCGCAUAAAACAGCAGAGUCGCAUGACUCAACUGUCAAAGAUUUAUCGGUGUAAGAUGGACCCGCGUCUGAUUAGCUGGUUGGUGGGGUAACGGCCUACCAAGGCGACGAUCAGUAGCCGGCCUGAGAGGGUGAACGGCCACAUUGGGACUGAGACACGGCCCAAACUCCUACGGGAGGCAGCAGUGGGGAAUAUUGGACAAUGGGCGAAAGCCUGAUCCAGCGACGCCGCGUGAGCGAUGAAGUAUUUCGGUAUGUAAAGCUCUAUCAGCAGGGAAGAAAACGGCGGUAC
rnacentral:rRNA from 1 species